rnacentral:ribozyme from 14 species
CAUGUUCUCUUUUUUUUUUAUUACUAUUUUGGACAAACCGAAAAAAAAAAUGAUCAAAAAUUUUGUAGUAGAUUUUAUCAUUCAGAUAUACUGAGUUGAAUGUUUUAAUUUUUCAAAGAAGCAGCACUAUACAGAGUUUCAUU